rnacentral:lncRNA from 1 species
UCUUUUUCUUUUUCCUUUUUCUUCCUUCUGCGCCUCCUUCCCCUUCUUCUUAUUCUCUUCUCUUCUUUUCCGCAGCUUCAUUUUGCCACUUUGGGGACCAUUAUAAUGGUCCCAAAUGGGUGACGCCUGUGGCAGUAGCACAUUUGGUGCCGCAUCUGCCGUUGGCACCUUUGGUACCGCCUGUGGCAGACCCUCAACCAGGGUCCUGUCACUUCAUCAGCUAGCUUUAUUAUUAUUAUUGUUGUUUGUACCAUUUUG